rnacentral:tRNA from 1 species
GGUUUUAUAUUUUAAUUAAAAUUUUAAAUUGCAAAUUUAAAGAUGCAUUAGUAUUGCUAAGACUU